GCUGGGGCCCAGCUCUGCUGCUGUGGAUUGUUACAGUGGCCUGGGCCUCUACUCCCGCCUCUGUCCUACCAGGAUGGUGCCAGGUGAUGUGGCGAUGAGUGGGCAUCGCGUGGGGGCCUUGGACGAGCGUGGACACCCCAAUCCCCAGACUGGCCAUUGCCGUGGAGGCAGCGUGAGUGUGACAUGGAGCUCGGUGUCGUGCUGCAGAGGACGCCUCGCGGCUGUACGCGUCAUGAUAGCCAGGGACCCCUCCACAUGUCACUUAGCCAAAGGAUGCAGCCCAGCCUGGGGCUUUCUACCCCAGGCCCGAGGACCUGCAGGGACAAGGACCCCUCAGCGCAGAUGCAGCUCUCAUGAGGCCUGAAACCAAGCUGGACUUGCAGAACUGCGCACGCUCCCUUUCUGAAAGAAACACCCGUUACCGGGUCCAGACUGAAUGUGGGCGUAAGAAAGCGGGAAGGGUCCCCCACAGCAAGAGAGAGACCCUCCCAGUCACUUGGUCAUCUGAGCCUUGAGUGUGUCCGGCCCCAGCCACCAGCCUGUCCCCACUAUCCCUCUUGUCAGCACGGCUGAAAGGAGCUGCCUGGGCACCUGAGGUGGCUGAGGCUCAUCUUUGAGGAGCAUGGAACUCGAGGGGAGAAGUCGCGCCCCCAGGGAAGCCAGGCCCUCCGACGGUGGCUCCGUGCCCUCAAAAGAAGGAUGAUCCCUUCCUGGUCCCGCCUGACCCGGGGGAGCUCGGCCCCUGCUGUGCUGUCAGCCUCGCCCCGGCCGCCCGCGCUGACCCCCGCCCGGCUCACAGCACCGCUGGCCGCAGCCUCUCACCGAGAGCUCCUGCCCUCAGCCUCCAGCCGGAGAAGGACUCCCCAUCCCAGCAGAGCUCAGCUCAGCGGGCACGCGCACGACGCAGAAAUCCUUGAUUUCUCAGGUUAGGCGACGGCUGAAUUAUAAACACGGGUAAGACCACGCACCUCCACUUCCCAGCGUUCUGUAUUUUACAACCAUUCUGUGUUUAUUUCAUUGAUCUACUUCCCGGAUUCAACGGUAUACUCCAAGAGGGCAGUGACUAGAAGAACUUUAUCUGUCCCGGCUUCGCUACUGUGCUCCCAGCACGUGCACAGCACACAGCAGACAGUUUUAAAAGCCGCGGAGGCCCCGGGUGGGAGGGGAGAGGAGGCCCCGGAUGGGAGGGGAGAAGAGGUCCCGGGUGGGAGGGGAGAGGAGGCCCCGGAUGGGAGGGGAGAAGAGGUUCCGGAUGGGAGGGGAGAGGAGGCCCCGGAUGGGAGGGGAGAAGAGGUCCCGGGUGGGAGGGGACAGCAGGCCCCGGAUGGGAGGGGAGAAGAGGUCCCGGGUGGGAGGGGAGAGGAGGCCCCGGAUGGGAGGGGAGAAGAGGUCCCGGGUGGGAGGGGAGAGGAGGCCCCGGAUGGGAGGGGAGAAGAGGUCCCGGGUGGGAGGGGAGAGGAGGCCCCGGAUGGGAGGGGAGAAGAGGUCCCGGGUGGGAGGGGAGAGGAGGCCCCGGAUGGGAGGGGAGAAGAGGUCCCGGGUGGGAGGGGAGAGGAGGCCCCGGAUGGGAGGGGAGAAGAGGUCCCGGGUGGGAGGGGACAGCAGGCCCCGGAUGGGGGGGAGAAGAGGUCCCGGG
rnacentral:lncRNA from 1 species